CCUACGGGGGGCUGCAGUGGGGAAUAUUGCACAAUGGGCGCAAGCCUGAUGCAGCCAUGCCGCGUGUGUGAAGAAGACCUUCGGGUUGUAAAGCACUUUCAGCGGGGAGGAAGGCGUUAAGGUUAAUAACCUUGGCGAUUGACGUUACCCGCAGAAGAAGCACCGGCUAACUCCGUGCCAGCAGCCGCGGUAAUACGGAGGGUGCAAGCGUUAAUCGGAAUUACUGGGCGUAAAGCGCACGCAGGCGGUCUGUCAAGUCGGAUGUGAAAUCCCCGGGCUCAACCUGGGAACUGCAUUCGAAACUGGCAGGCUAGAGUCUUGUAGAGGGGGGUAGAAUUCCAGGUGUAGCGGUGAAAUGCGUAGAGAUCUGGAGGAAUACCGGUGGCGAAGGCGGCCCCCUGGACAAAGACUGACGCUCAGGUGCGAAAGCGUGGGGAGCAAACAGGAUUAGAUACCCCGGUAGUC
rnacentral:rRNA from 1 species